rnacentral:rRNA from 1 species
GUAGGGUCCGAGCGUUUAUCCGGAAUCAUUGGGCGUAAAGAGCUCGUAGGCGGUUCAGCAAGUCGGCUGUGAAAGUUCGAGGCUCAACCUCGAAAUUGCAGUCGAUACUGCUGUGACUUGAAUUCGGUAGAGGAGAAUGGAAUUCCCGGUGUAGCGGUGAAAUGCGCAGAUAUCGGGAGGAACACCAGUAGCGAAGGCGGUUCUCUGGGCCGAUAUUGACGCUGAGGAGCGAAAGCGUGGGGGAGCAAACAGGAUUAGAUACCCUGGUAGUCCACGCCGUAAACGUUGGAUGCUAGGUGUGGCGGUCUACCAACGACUGCCGUGCCGAAGCUAACGCAUUAAGCAUCCCCGCCUGGGGAGUACGGCCGCAAGGCUA